rnacentral:misc_RNA from 1 species
AAGUCGUAACAAGGUUUCCGUAGGUGAAUCUGCGGAAGGAUCAUUAAAUAAAUAUGAAGUCUCCUUUAUUGGAGUUCUUUCAAUUUUACUGUGAACUGUUUUUAAUUGGUGGCAUAUAAGGGGAUGUCUAUACUGGCCAUAAGGGUAGGCUGUAUAGAAUGUUAACCUAGUCACCGUCAAGUUUUUAUACUUGGUACCCUAUUAUUAUUUACCAAAAGAAUUCAGUUUAAAUAAACGUGACAUAGACCUAUAAAAUCUAUAAAACAA